AGAGUUUGAUCCUGGCUCAGGACGAACGCUGGCGGCGUGCUUAACACAUGCAAGUCACGGGGGCUCGCAAGAGCAACCGGCGAACGGGUGCGUAACACGUGAGCAACCUACCGAUUUGUGGGGGAUAGCCGUCCUAACGGGCGGGUAAUACCGCAUACGCUUUCCGGGAGACAUCUCCUGGUCAGGAAACCUCCGGGGCAAAUCGAGGGGCUCGCGGCCUAUCAGCUAGUUGGUGUGGUCACGGCACACCAAGGCGACCACGGGUAGCUGGGCUGAGAAGAUGGCCAGCCACAUUGGGACUGGAAAAAAGGGCCAAACUCCUACGGGAAGCAGCAGUGGGGGAAUCUUGCGCAAUGGGACGAAAAUUUUGACCCACGAACCCCCCCCUGGGGGGAAUAAAAGGGUUUCGGUUCCUAAACCCCCUGGUUGCCCGGGACAAAAUUUUUUCCUUUUUGAGGAGAUUUGCGGUACCCGGUGAGGAAACACCCGGCUAAAUUCUGUUGCCCCCAGCCCCCGGUAAUACAAAAAGGGGCGAGCGUUGUUCCGGAAACACUGGGGCGUAAAGGGGCGCGGAAGUGGCGGGCCCAGUCCCUUGGUGAGAAGCUCGAUGCUCAACAUCCAAUCGGCCACGGAUACUGGGUUCGCCUCGAGCACUGGUAAAAGGCUAAAUGGGAAAUUCCCGGUGUAACCGUGGAAAUGCGUAUAGAUCCCGGAAGAAACACCCCGGUGGGCGAAAGGCGGGGUUAUGCUGGGUGAGAGUUGCUUGACAACUGUAGGGCGCCGACAGACGCUGGGGGAGCAAACCACGAUUAGAUACCUUGUUAGUCCCACGCUGUAAACGAUGGGGCACUAGAUGCUUGGGGAGAGCGACCCCCCUGAGUUGUCGUCGCUAAACGCCAGUAAAGUGCCCCCGCCGUGGGAGAGUACCGGCCCGCAAGGCUGAAACUUCAAAAGGAAUUGACGGGGGCCCGCACAAGCGGUGGAGCAUGUGGUUUUAUUUGGACGCAACGCGAAGAACUUUACUUAGGCUUGACAUAGCCGAGAAAACCCUCCCGAAACGGAGCCCCCUUUUCGGAGUUCGGUUCCAGGUGCUGGCAUGGCUGUCGUCCAGCUCGUGUCGUGAGAUGUUGGGUUAAGUCCCCGCAACGAGCCCAACCCCCCGUUUUCAGUUGCUAACGCGUCAUGGCGAGGACUCUGGAAAGACUGCCGGUGCUAAACCGGAGGAAGGUGGGGACGACGUCAAGUCAUCAUGGUCCUUACGUCUAGGGCUACACACGUGCUACAAUGGCCGGGACAGCGGGUCGCAAAUGCGCAAGCAUGAGCCAAUCCCCAAACCCGGCCUCAGUUCGGAUUGGAGGCUGCAACUCGCCUCCAUGAAGCUGGAAUCGCUAGUAAUCGUGGAUCAGCUACGCCACGGUGAAUACGUUCCCGGGCCUUGUACACACCGCCCGUCACGCCAUGGAAGCUGUGAGCGCCCGAAGUCCGUGUCGGAACCCGCAAGGGACCAAGCGGCCGAAGGCGAGCGCAGUGACUGGGGCGAAGUCGUAACAAGGUAACC
rnacentral:rRNA from 1 species